GUGACCUAUGGACUGCCCCGGUGCGCCCAAAGCCCAAAUCCGUCUCACAAUAGCUUCCUGUUCCACUUGGAUCACCCUUGUUUUCAAACAUCAGCAAACGCGGCAAGCCACUGGGGGCGUCGCUGACACAAGAGAAGCGGGGGUGCCCGGAAAAGUGGGAGGGCAGAAGUGAAAAUGUUAACUAUGGUCACUGAAACCCAGCACCGUGGACACAGCAGAGGCCGUCAUAUAAGACACGGUGCACACCAAGGAACCUUCCAGCACCACAAGAGGAUUCGACCAACUCAUCAAGAGGACUUUUUUCCUCCCCGUUUUUUUUCCCCCAUCAGCAUACAAAUGGGAGGUACUCGCCCGGAAGAGAGCGAGGGGGGUCACUGGGAUGGUCGAGCGCCGUCUGGACCGCGAGAAUUAGAAGGAGGGGGCAUCCCGUUCAGCCUUACAUGGCAACCAGAGGAAAGCCUCGAGCGUUGAAGUGAAUUUACACUCAAAGUCACCUUACGGUGCAGACUACCAUACUUGGGAGGGAAAGCGGCGAAGGAAAGCGUUCCGCUCGUAACUUCUCCGGCUUGGCCCGAAAGAAAGCAGUUACAAUCUGUGCGUCGGGACAAGACACGGACGGCGAGGCUGAAUGACAAAGUUGCGCUUGUGCCCAUUUCAAUAGAAUAUCACGUUCAAGGUCUGAAGAGAGAGAUAUCCCACAAUGCUUUGCUAAAGCUGGUAAAAUGGAACCAAAUCACCUCUUGAAUGGAUUUGGUCCCCUUCAACCAGCUGUAGCUAUGCUUUGAUGACUGCAGGGAUUCGACUGAGGUGUUGCUCUUCAAACGACCGCCUACGAUUGCCGUCUUCCAUGUCUCGCUUGAAAAGAACAAUAAAGUUACUGCAUCAAACUUUC